GAAUCGCCUCUCAUGGGGGAGCAUUGCCUGCCACGAAGUUUUCGUUGCGGUAAACGUGGCAGCCAGCACUGUUCUGCUGGGAGUUAUCCGUGCAAGCAGCGUGCGACUGGAAAGCUGUAAGGAUCCCUUCUCGGACUGCACGCGGGGAGCCAGACUCGGCCCCGAGGAAGGGUUGUGAGCUCUGCAUAGUUUCUCAGCGAUGGCUACGGGCCCCGCUCUCCACGCCCAGUCCUUCUGCCAGUAAUGGGAUGUCUCCAGGUGUGCAGCGGCCCCUUUACCUGCUCUCCCCGCACCUGCAUCAAACCCGUGCCAGCUGAGUUGGGAGCUGCCGUCUCGCCACGUUGCAGAUUUGCAUAUAUGCAGCUGCAUCCCAUCUAUACAGGACUCCCAUAACAGACCUUCAGGCAAUCAUCCAUGUCUUUACUGAGGCCUGCAAGAAAAUGGGACUGAUGUUUAACAUUCAGAAGACUAAGGUCCUCCAUCAACAAGCUCUUAA
rnacentral:lncRNA from 1 species